AAUCAACGCUGGCGGCGUGCCUAACACAUGCAAGUCGAACGCGAAAGGGGCUUCGGCCCUGAGUAGAGUGGCGAACGGGUGAGUAACACGUGGGUGACCUACCCUCGAGUGGGGGAUAACAUCCCGAAAGGGGUGCUAAUACCGCAUGACAUCCUGCCUUUGAACAGGCGGACAUUAAAGCCGGGGAUCGCAAGACCUGGCGCUCGAGGAGGGGCUCGCGUCCGAUUAGCUAGUUGGUGGGGUAAAGGCCUACCAAGGCGACGAUCGGUAGCCGGCCUGAGAGGGCGGACGGCCACACUGGGACUGAGACACGGCCCAGACUCCUACGGGAGGCAGCAGUGGGGAAUUGUUCGCAAUGGGCGCAAGCCUGACGACGCAACGCCGCGUGGAGGAUGAAGAUCUUCGGGUCGUAAACUCCUUUCGAUCGGGACGAAUGGCUGGCGGUCUAAUACACCGCCGGAGUGACGGUACCGAGAGAAGAAGCCCCGGCUAACUCCGUGC
rnacentral:rRNA from 1 species